CAGUAAAUAGUUUAUGAAAAAUUUUAAUUUUGGGGAUUAAAGAUGAGCUUUGCUUUUUACUGA
rnacentral:tRNA from 2 species